UGGGGAAUAUUGGGCAAUGGGGCGCAAGCCUGACCCAGCAACGCCGCGUGAAGGAAGAAGGCUUUCGGGUUGUAAACUUCUUUUAAGGGGGAAGAGGAGAAGACGGUACCCCUAGAAUAAGCCACGGCUAACUACGUGCCAGCAGCCGCGGUAAUACGUAGGUGGCAGGCGUUGUCCGGAUUUACUGGGUGUAAAGGGCGUGUAGCCGGGUCUGCAAGUCGGGAGUGAAAUCCAUGGGCUCAACCCAUGAACUGCUUUCGAAACUGUAUCCCUUGGGUAUCGGAGAGGCAAGCGGAAUUCCUAGUGUAGCGGUGAAAUGCGUAGAUAUUAGGAGGAACACCAGUGGCGAAGGCGGCUUGCUGGACGACAACUGACGCUGAGGCGCGAAAGCGUGGGGAGCAAACAGGAUUAGAUACCCUGGUAGU
rnacentral:rRNA from 1 species